UACGUAGGGGGCAAGCGUUGUCCGGAAUCAUUGGGCGUAAAGCGCGCGUAGGCGGCCCUGUAAGUCCGUUGUGAAAGUCAAAGGCUCAACCUUUGAAUGCCGAUGGAUACUGCAGGGCUAGAGUCCGGAAGAGGCAAGUGGAAUUCCUGGUGUAGCGGUGGAAUGUGCAGAUAUCAGGAGGAACACCAACGGCGAAGGCAGCUUGCUGGGACGGUACUGACGCUAAGGCGCGAAAGCGUGGGGAGCGAACAGG
rnacentral:rRNA from 1 species